rnacentral:tRNA from 1 species
GGGGUUAUAGUUAAAUCUAACACUUAAUUUGCAAUUAAGAGAUACUAAAAAAUUAGUUAACCUCG